rnacentral:lncRNA from 1 species
GAACUCUUGGCGCAGGGGAUGUCCCAGCCCCUUGGUGAAGCUGACUAGGGAAAGCAGCCGAGGAAGACAAGCUAUAAUGAGCAGUCUCUGGAUAACCACCAGUUGGCAUCCCAGCUGAACUCGGCGGCAUUCUAUACAAUGAAGACCCUCCACUUGCAGCACCCAACCCACCCCCCGCACCAGCACCAGUCAACCCACCAUAAACAGUUGAACCUGGUCCGCCAUAGCCAGCUGAUCCUGGUCCACCAUAGCCAGUUGAACCUUGUCCACCAUACCCACCAUACGGCCCACCAAGUCCAGAAUAACCCCCAGCAGCAACACCGCCAUUUCCACUCAAAGCGC